rnacentral:rRNA from 1 species
CCUACGGGCGGCAGCAGUAGGGAAUAUUGCUCAAUGGGGGAAACCCUGAAGCAGCAACGCCGCGUGGAGGAUGAAGGUCUUCGGAUUGUAAACUCCUUUUGUUAGAGAAGAUAGUUACAGUAUCUAACCAUUAAUCACCUGCUAACUCCGUCCCAGCAGCCGCGGUCAUACGGAGGGCGCACGCGUUCCUCGGAAUCACUGGGCGUAACGAGCGCGUAGGCGGGAUGGCAAGUCAGAUGUGAAAUCCUAUGGCUUAACCAUAGAACUGCAUUUGAAACUGGUAAUCUAGAGUAUGGGAGAGGUGGGUGGAAUUCCUGGUGUAGGGGGAAAAUCCGUAGAGAUCAAGAGGAAUACUCAUUGCGAAGGCGACCUGCUAGAACAUAACUGACGCUGAUGCGCGAAAGCGUGGGGAGCAAACAGGAUUAGAUACCCCGGUAGUC